rnacentral:tRNA from 1 species
GCUCUAGUGGCACAAAUGGUUAGCGUGUGGUACUUAUAAUGCCGAGGUUGUGAGUUCGAGCCUCACCUAGAGUA